CCCAAGGUAAAAAGCAAGCCAAUUUAAUAGAGGCUGUCCCUUGAGUCUGGCAUCACAGGCAGCAUCACAUAUGAUGGCACGGUCCCUAUUGACUAUCUGCACCACACCACCCCUUCGUUAAAGACAUUUCACUCCUGAAAGAAAGAGACACAAUCAACAUUACUAAUUAAUGUCUAUGACACCUGUCUUAUGGGACAGCCAUUACUUUUGGCAUCCUGCACCAAUAUUUCAAUGGAAAGGCUUCUCGGCCAUGGUAGGGUUACUGAACACAACUUUUAUAAUGCACCAACAGCCACAAUAUGAAUCAUUUCUACCCGCUCCUGUGUGUGUUGCCCUUGCAGGACUGCACUCCAGAAUGCCACCCAGCGAUGGGCAUCUGUGAAAGAGAAGGGUGCCAGUGUCCCACCUGCCACUUCCUGCAUAGUACUGAAGCCUAAACCAUCGCCGACCAUCCCAGAGCUGACCAGGGAACUAGUGCCGGAAGACUGGAAUCGGAACACCUGCGCUACAAGGAAAAAAAACAAAGAGGCUUUCAAAAACAUUCAGGUGGAGGGUAAUGCAAAGCCAGCUCCUUCAAGCUCCAGGGACAGUUGUGUCCAAGCAGGAGAGGUCAUUACAGAGCUGUGCGAGUGGAGACAGCGGAUCAAGAGACACAGAGCAGCUCUGAAGAAGGGCAGAGAGAGAAUGAGUUGGAAGCCCUUGAAUCUUGUAAUUAUAACCAGCC